AAGAAAAUCAACUCUUUUAGACCAAGGAUCUUGGUCAGAAACCAAUUUGAGCUAAGUAAAAAAGAAAAAGUUUCAGUAAUGCAAUGGUCGAUGGUACUAGAACAAGUCAGCAUUCACAUGUUCAUUUUAUUUGCAUAUAUCCAGACAACUGCACAUGUACAUGUAAAAACCGAUGUUGGCGCACUGUGACUUGUGCCACUAAAUAAAAAUUUUGAUGACCACACAAUAACUACAUUCAAAUAACAAAAACAUGCAUGACAAUGAGGAAAAUGGUUUUUGUUUAGUUGACAUUAUAUUCUCAAUUGCCUAGGAAUUGUGGAUGAUAAUUUUUUUUUUUUUUGUUGGCAUUGUGUGGGAUGCAUCAAGCACUGUCAUUAAGCUCAUGGAGUGUUCAAAGGAAACAAUACUAGGGUAAAGGAGUUAGUUGGAAAUGUGAAUGGCAGUAUCAACAUUUAAAAAUAUAUUGAAUAUACAGCAGAGAGCAUGUGCCAAACUUUUUAGGGAGAUGCACAUGCACGGGAAAUUAAGCUUGAAUAUAAUGUUUUCUGUCAAUGAUGAUUGUCUAUCUUGAAGGCUUUCAUAUUCUUUCUUUUGUAUAGUUUUGUGGAAAUCCUAAGCUUACUUUUUCUUUGUUUUGUAUUUUGGGUGCCUUUUUU
rnacentral:misc_RNA from 1 species